UNCACUUGCUUGCAGGCUUGCGUUGUCACU
rnacentral:piRNA from 1 species